rnacentral:tRNA from 1 species
UGCCCCUUAGCUCAGUGGAGUAGAGCGCGGCCCUCCGAAGGUCGAGGCCGCUGGUUCGAGUCCAGCAGGGGCAACCA